rnacentral:rRNA from 1 species
GUGAGGAAUAUUGGUCAAUGGACGAGAGUCUGAACCAGCCAAGUAGCGUGAAGGAUGACUGCCCUAUGGGUUGUAAACUUCUUUUAUACGGGAAUAAAGUUAGCCACGUGUGGCUUUUUGUAUGUACCGUAUGAAUAAGGAUCGGCUAACUCCGUGCCAGCAGCCGCGGUAAUACGGAGGAUCCGAGCGUUAUCCGGAUUUAUUGGGUUUAAAGGGAGCGUAGGCGGGUUGUUAAGUCAGUUGUGAAAGUUUGCGGCUCAACCGUAAAAUUGCAGUUGAUACUGGCGACCUUGAGUGCAACAGAGGUAGGCGGAAUUCGUGGUGUAGCGGUGAAAUGCUUAGAUAUCACGAAGAACUCCGAUUGCGAAGGCAGCUUACUGGAUUGUAACUGACGCUGAUGCUCGAAAGUGUGGGUAUCAAACAGGAUUAGAAACCCGAGUAGUCC